GUCAGGUGUGACAGUGUAUGCCUAUAAUCCCAGCUACUUGGGGGCUGAGGCAGGAGGAUUGCUUGAGUCUAGGAGUUCUAGGCCAUCCAGGGCACCACUGUGGGCACCUGUCUUGA
rnacentral:sRNA from 1 species